CGGAACACGUACGCAAUCUACCCAGAACUGGUGAAUAGCCCUCCGAAAGGAGGAUUAAUACACCGUAACAUUAAAAGGUGGCAUCACUUUCUGAUUAUAGCUCCGGCGGUUUUGGAUGAGCGUGCGGCUGAUUAGGUAGUUGGUGCGGGUAACGGCCCACCAAGCCUGCGAUCAGUAACUGGUGUGAGAGCACGACCAGUCACACGGGCACUGAGACACGGGCCCG
rnacentral:rRNA from 1 species